rnacentral:rRNA from 1 species
GACGUAGGGCGCGAGCGUUGUCCGGAUUUAUUGGGCGUAAAGAGCUCGUAGGCGGCUUGUUGCGUCGGCUGUGAAAACCCAUGGCUCAACCGUGGGCUUGCAGCCGAUACGGGCAGGCUAGAGUUCGGUAGGGGAGACUGGAAUUCCUGGUGUAGCGGUGAAAUGCGCAGAUAUCGGGAAGAACACCCGUGGCGAAGGCGGUUCUCUGGGACGGUACUGACGCUGAGACGCGAAAGCGUGGGGAGCGAACAGG